rnacentral:rRNA from 1 species
AUACGUAGGGGGCGAGCGUUGUCCGGAAUGAUUGGGCGUAAAGGGCGCGUAGGCGGCCCGGUAAGUCUGGAGUGAAAGUCCUGUUUUUAAGAUGGGAAUUGCUUUGGAUACUGUCGGGCUUGAGUGCAGGAGAGGUAAGUGGAAUUCCCAGUGUAGCGGUGAAAUGCGUAGAGAUUGGGAGGAACACCAGUGGCGAAGGCGACUUACUGGACUGUAACUGACGCUGAGGCGCGAAAGUGUGGGGAGCAAACAGGAUUAGAUACCCUGGUAGUCCACACUGUAAACGAUGAAUGCUAGGUGUAGGGGUUAUCGACCCCUUCUGUGCCGCAGUCAACACAAUAAGCAUUCCGCCUGGGGAGUACGGCCGCAAGGUUGAAACUCAAAGGAAUUGACGGGG